rnacentral:rRNA from 1 species
GCGAGCGAAGAGGGAUAAGCUCAAAUUUUAAAUCUGUUGGGUUUCAACCUAACAGAGUUGUAUUUUGAAGAAACGUUUUCUGCGUCCAGGAUUAGCCUAAAUCCUUUGGGAUAAGGUAUCAUGGAGGGUGAGAAUCCCGUUCAUGGUUAAUCUUAAGGAUGCUCUACGAUACGUUCUCCAAGAGUCGAGUUGUUUGGGAUUGCAGCUCAAAAUGGGAGGUAAAUUUCUCCUAAGGCUAAAUAUUGGCGAGAGACCGAUAGCGAACAAGUACCGUGAGGGAAAGAUGAAAAGAACUUUGAAAAGAGAGUUAAACAGUACGUGAAAUUGUUGAAAGGGAAACGAUUGAAGUCAGUCAUACCAACGGGAAAUCAACCUUUUGAGUCUGUCCUUGUGGGUUUCGAGGAGUUUAAAAGCCUUCGGAUUUUCUAGGAUUGGGCUCUUUUGGUGUACUUUCUCGUACGGUUAGUCAACAUCGGUUUUGAAUGUCAUAAAAUGACCGGAGGAAUGUGGCUUCGAUCUCGUAUCGAAGUGUUAUAACCUUUGGUAGAUGUGAUGUUCGAGACCGAGGAUUGCAACGGAUACCCUUCGGCUAUUCGUCUGAUCUCUGAUACGUUGCCUUGAUGUCGAAAGCGUGCUUAUGAUGUUAGGGUAUUACGGUCAAAAGGUUAGAACGGAUUAAAUUCGUUAAGGAUGU